rnacentral:rRNA from 1 species
UUAAGCGACUAAGCGUACACGGUGGAUGCCCUGGCAGUCAGAGGCGAUGAAGGACGUGCUAAUCUGCGAAAAGCGUCGGUAAGGUGAUAUGAACCGUUAUAACCGGCGAUGUCCGAAUGGGGAAACCCAGUGCAAUUCGUUGCACUAUCGUUAACUGAAUACAUAGGUUAACGAGGCGAACCGGGGGAACUGAAACAUCUAAGUACCCCGAGGAAAAGAAAUCAACCGAGAUUCCCCCAGUAGCGGCGAGCGAACGGGGAGCAGCCCAGAGUCUGAAUCAGCUUGUGUGUUAGUGGAACGGUCUGGAAAGUCCGACGGUACAGGGUGAUAGUCCCGUACACCAAAAUGCACAGGUUGUGAACUCGAAGAGUAGGGCGGGACACGUGGUAUCCUGUCUGAAUAUGGGGGGACCAUCCUCCAAGGCUAAAUACUCCUGACUGACCGAUAGUGAACCAGUACCGUGAGGGAAAGGCGAAAAGAACCCCGGCGAGGGGAGUGAAAAAGAACCUGAAACCGUGUACGUACAAGCAGUGGGAGCACCUUCGGGUGUGACUGCGUACCUUUUGUAUAAUGGGUCAGCGACUUAUAUUCUGUAGCAAGGUUAACCGUAUAGGGGAGCCGCAGGGAAACCGAGUCUUAACUGGGCGUUAAGUUGCAGGGUAUAGACCCGAAACCCGGUGAUCUAGCCAUGGGCAGGUUGAAGGUUGGGUAACACUAACUGGAGGACCGAACCGACUAAUGUUGAAAAAUUAGCGGAUGACUUGUGGCUGGGGGUGAAAGGCCAAUCAAACCGGGAGAUAGCUGGUUCUCCCCGAAAGCUAUUUAGGUAGCGCCUCGUGAACUCAUCUUCGGGGGUAGAGCACUGUUUCGGCUAGGGGGUCAUCCCGACUUACCAACCCGAUGCAAACUACGAAUACCGAAGAAUGUUAUCACGGGAGACACACGGCGGGUGCUAACGUCCGUCGUGAAGAGGGAAACAACCCAGACCGCCAGCUAAGGUCCCAAAGUCAUGGUUAAGUGGGAAACGAUGUGGGAAGGCACAGACAGCCAGGAUGUUGGCUUAGAAGCAGCCAUCAUUUAAAGAAAGCGUAAUAGCUCACUGGUCGAGUCGGCCUGCGCGGAAGAUGUAACGGGGCUAAACCAUGCACCGAAGCUGCGGCAGCGACACUAUGUGUUGUUGGGUAGGGGAGCGUUCUGUAAGCCUGCGAAGGUGACCUGUGAGGGUUGCUGGAGGUAUCAGAAGUGCGAAUGCUGACAUAAGUAACGAUAAAGCGGGUGAAAAGCCCGCUCGCCGGAAGACCAAGGGUUCCUGUCCAACGUUAAUCGGGGCAGGGUGAGUCGACCCCUAAGGCGAGGCCGAAAGGCGUAGUCGAUGGGAAACAGGUUAAUAUUCCUGUACUUGGUGUUACUGCGAAGGGGGGACGGAGAAGGCUAUGUUAGCCGGGCGACGGUUGUCCCGGUUUAAGCAUGUAGGCUGGUUAUCCAGGCAAAUCCGGAUAAUCAAGGCUGAGGUGUGAUGACGAGGCACUACGGUGCUGAAGUAACAAAUGCCCUGCUUCCAGGAAAAGCCUCUAAGCAUCAGGUAACAUCAAAUCGUACCCCAAACCGACACAGGUGGUCAGGUAGAGAAUACCAAGGCGCUUGAGAGAACUCGGGUGAAGGAACUAGGCAAAAUGGUGCCGUAACUUCGGGAGAAGGCACGCUGGUGUGUAGGUGAAGUCCCUGCGGAUGGAGCUGAGACCAGUCGAAGAUACCAGCUGGCUGCAACUGUUUAUUAAAAACACAGCACUGUGCAAACACGAAAGUGGACGUAUACGGUGUGACGCCUGCCCGGUGCCGGAAGGUUAAUUGAUGGGGUUAUCCGUAAGGAGAAGCUCUUGAUCGAAGCCCCGGUAAACGGCGGCCGUAACUAUAACGGUCCUAAGGUAGCGAAAUUCCUUGUCGGGUAAGUUCCGACCUGCACGAAUGGCGUAAUGAUGGCCAGGCUGUCUCCACCCGAGACUCAGUGAAAUUGAACUCGCUGUGAAGAUGCAGUGUACCCGCGGCAAGACGGAAAGACCCCGUGAACCUUUACUAUAGCUUGACACUGAACAUUGAGCCUUGAUGUGUAGGAUAGGUGGGAGGCUUUGAAGCGUGGACGCCAGUCUGCGUGGAGCCAACCUUGAAAUACCACCCUUUAAUGUUUGAUGUUCUAACGUUGGCCCCU